GAGUUUGAUUAUGGCUCAGGACGAACGCUGGCGGCGUGCUUAACACAUGCAAGUCGAACGGUAAGGCCCUUCGGGGUACACGAGUGGCGAACGGGUGAGUAACACGUGAGUAACCUGCCCCUAACUCUGGGAUAACGACUGGAAACGGUUGCUAAUACUGGAUAUGAAUCGGGCCUGCAUGGGUCUGGUUGGAAAGCUCUGGCGGUUGGGGAUGGGCUCGCGGCCUAUCAGCUUGUUGGUGAGGUAGUGGCUCACCAAGGCUUCGACGGGUAGCCGGCCUGAGAGGGCGACCGGCCACAUUGGGACUGAGAUACGGCCCAAACUCCUACGGGAGGCAGCAGUGGGGAAUAUUGCACAAUGGGCGGAAGCCUGAUGCAGCAACGCCGCGUGCGGGAUGACGGCCUUCGGGUUGUAAACCGCUUUCAGUCGGGACGAAGCGUGAGAGACGNACCGACAGAAGAGCACCG
rnacentral:rRNA from 1 species